CCGGUUAGAAUAAUAAGAAAGAAUCAAAGUCCAGGUUGGUUGGUGAGCCUAGUGAUAGGAGACUAUCUAGCUUGGUUCGGAGAGCCACCCUUCUUCCACUCCGUCCCGAAGACUAACUAA
rnacentral:rRNA from 1 species